rnacentral:sRNA from 1 species
AGCAGCCGCGGUAAUUCCAGCUCCAAUAGCGUAUAUUAAAGUUGUUGCAGUUAAAAAGCUCGUAGUUGAAUUUCGGAAUCAGUACGCUGGUCGUGCCUUCGGUAUGUACUGGUGUCACUGAUUCCUCCCUUCUGAAGAACCAUCAUGCCAUUCACUUGGUGUGGUGGGGAAUCAGGACUGUUACUUUGAAAAAUUAGAGUGUUUAAAGCAGGCUCGCGCUUGAAUACAUUAGCAUGGAAUAAUGAAAUAGGACGUUAAUCCUAUUUUGUUGGUUUCUAGGAUUGACGUAAUGAUUAAUAGGGAUAGUUGGGGGCAUUAGUAUUCAAUUGUCAGAGGUGAAAUUCUUGGAUUUAUUGAAGACUAACUACUGCGAAAGCAUUUGCCAAGGAUGUUUUCAUUAAUCAAGAACGAAAGUUAGGGGAUCGAAGACGAUCAGAUACCGUCGUAGUCUUAACCAUAAACUAUGCCGACUA